GGGUAUUUGUUGCCAUUUGUGCACGCCAGGUCCUUUACUCUCUCCGUGUAUAUAUUUUCCUUCUCGUUUUGGAGCAGCAAACGAUCGGAAGAGCGCGUAAGCAUUUGCAGGUGUGAGAUAUUGAUCGAUUUUCUGCAAAUUUAUUAUCAAUUUCUCGUUGAAGGAAAUGUGAAGAAUCCCCCUUUGUUGAGUUCCUCUCGAUUACUGAAACGAGAGGAUUUCGGUGCCUGAGAAUGAAUGCCAAACCAACUCCAAUUACUCUCAAGAUUGUUCUUCUUGGAGAUGGUAGAGUUGGGAAGACAUCACUUGUAUUGCGUUAUGUAAACAAUGAGUUCUCAGAGAAGCAAGAAGCUACUAUGCAGGCUUCAUACUUGACAAAGCGCCUUGUUAUCGAAGGUGUACCUAUCACUCUAGCUAUUUGGGACACAGCUGGACAAGAGAGGUUUCAUGCUUUGGGCCCUAUUUAUUAUCGUGAUGCAGAUGCAGCUCUUCUGGUUUAUGAUAUUACAGACAGUCACAGCUUCAAUAGAGUCAGGAAUUGGGUGAAGGAGCUCCAACAAAUGGCAUCUAAAAAUAUAAUUCUGGCAAUUGCUGCAAAUAAAAGUGAUCUGGUUCGCUCAAAGAAAUAUGACCUUCAAGAAGCUCAAAGCUAUGCAGCAUUGAUUGAAGCGAGGCUUUUUGUUACAUCUGCCAAAUCGGGGUCUGGAAUCGAUGAAGUUUUUCUUGAUAUAGCUACUAGGGGGCUGGAAGCAAGGAGGAGUAGUGCAGAGGGCUGUUCCCCAACUCCCCGAAGAAAAGGGUUGGUUAUUAUUGAUGAUCAACCUGAUACAGAGCCCCAGUUGAGAUGCUGUUCUUGAUACCAUAAAGCUUCAAACAUUAACAUGAAAACACAAAAUGUAUGAUGCUCGGUUGACACUAAUUGAACUCCAGGAUGUAGAGUGGCAAAUGUAAUAUACUGAUACGUUGACGAAGUCUUCGGCGUUUAUACAUUCAAGCCUCAUUUAUUGAUAUAAAGAAACAGGAAUGUUCCCUUUUCAGCUGAUUGCUGCCUUGAUAAAAUUGUGGUCCAUGUGUAAUUUGAUCUAGAAUUUAAUCCUGAAAUGAUUGUUUUAGAGCCUAGCUGGAUCAUGUGAUUCUUGUUAGCCUUUGUAUUUGUUUACUGUGUAAAAAUAAAUAAAAUGGGGUUGGUGUCCCUCAUGAGUGUUGAAGGA